rnacentral:lncRNA from 1 species
CCAGGGAAGACACUCGGGGAAGAAUUUUUACUUUUAGUUUUUUUGUCCAUCUUUUUAGUUUUUUUGUCCCAUUUUUUUGUGAGGCCUACAACAUUUGCUUCCAAUUUCAUUCAUCGUUCUUUCAAUUUUACGUUCCUUACCUUUGCAUUAUUGAAACAUUGGGUUCAAAUGUUGUAGGCCGAGCUGCUAGCACUUCGGGCCCAGCAGGAGGCCCAGUUGGCUGAGCGAGCCGAGCGGGAGGCCGAGCGUCAGAGGAUACAAGCUUUGGAGGCCCAGCAAGAAGGUUUGCUCAAGUUCGUGCAACAACUUGGGCAACAACAUGGUUGGGAGAUCCCAGCACAGCUGCUUGCACCACCACCACCAUAUCGUCGAGAGUCUACUCCGGUGAGUAUGAGUAUGGAUGUUUUACUUUCUUUGCUCAUACUUAGACUAAAACCUAGUGAUGGCCUUCGUGCUGGAUUUGUUGAUGUGUUGGCCUUCGUGCUGGAUUUGUUGAUGUGUCGGCCAUCGUGCCAGAAAUGUGGUUGUCGGCCUUCGUGUCGAUGUUUCUCUUGCAGGUUUUGGAAACCUCCCCGUGCAGGGGAGGUGCUGCCGAAAUUUCCAAUUUUUCUUUACACUCUUUACAUUUUUAUUUGUCACUCACAUCCAAUGCCCUCUCUUUUGUAGCAUGCAUCGGGGGCGGCGUCCAACCAUGUCGGAGGGUCGCCAGGAUCGCACGGCGUGCUAUGCACACCUAGACCGUCGCCGGGAUCGCAAGCUAGGCCGUCCUAACCCUCGCCGGGAUCGCACACUGGACAGUCGCCGUGAGCUGCCUUGGGAGUUGUUUUUAUGUAUUAAACUUGUGAACUUGGAAUAAUAUGUACUCUUGAACGUGUGGUUUGUAAUAUAUUUUGAAUUUCGUAUAAAUUUGGUCAUUUGUGAUAUAUAUAUAAAUGUGGUUUGUGAUAUAUUGCUGUUGAUUUUUGGAUUGUGA